AGCCCCAUCGUCUAGCGGUCAAGGAUGGGAGGCUCUGGACCUCCAGACAUCGGUUCAAAACCUAAGGGGGGUG
rnacentral:tRNA from 2 species